UUUCCUUCUGACGCAAUAGUCUUCAGAAUAUCUCUCUUCACUCUUCUAUCUCGGAGAUUGUAUAUCGGUCCAAGGUUCCUGGAUUCAUUGGUAAAUCUUCAUUUGAAUGUGUUGGGGAUAGAAACAGAAGCAAAAGAAUUCACUUUCCAACUGCUUUCUUCAAGAAACAUAAGGUCUUGUUGGAGCUUUAGAUGCUAGUGCUGGCGAUGCUGAUCCCAUUUACAAGUAAAUUUUGAGCCUGCCUUCAAUUCGUGUUUUACUACAUGUGCAUCUAGUUCUGUUUAUUUGUGCUCUUCAGUAGUGUUAUUCAUCAUCCGUGUACCAAUGUAAUAAAAGGAACAAAUCUAGCUCUUAGUAUAAUGCUACUACAUGAAUUGCCCAAAUGGAUAUGUUGAGAAAGGAAGUUUUGAACCUGUAAAUGUGAUUUGCACCCUUAAAUUUGUGUCUGUUUCUCUCACAUUGGGACAUCUAUUGUGCACAAGAGAUAUGGCAGGAGGGCUCCUGUCCAUGCUAUUAUAUUCCUGUGCUUCCAUCACUUUGGGUCGUAUGCAUUGAGAGAGCAUAUGUACAUAUUAAUUUUCAUGGACAAUUAUGGAUGCGCUGGACAUUUAGAAAUGGUCUUUCUCAUCUUUUCCUACUUGUUUAGCAGCCUUACAGUACUAGCUGCUCUUUUAAGGAGUCUCUGUUGAGCUGUUUCUCAUA